rnacentral:rRNA from 1 species
AUUGAACGCUGGCGGCAUGCCUUACACAUGCAAGUCGAACGGCAGCACGGGAGCAAUCCUGGUGGCGAGUGGCGAACGGGUGAGUAAUAUAUCGGAACGUGCCCAGUCGUGGGGAUAACGUAGCGAAAGCUACGCUAAUACCGCAUACGAUCUAUGGAUGAAAGCGGGGGAUCGCAAGACCUCGCGCGAUUGGAGCGGCCGAUAUCAGAUUAGGUAGUUGGUGAGGUAAAGGCUCACCAAGCCGACGAUCUGUAGCUGGUCUGAGAGGACGACCAGCCACACUGGGACUGAGACACGGCCCAGACUCCUACGGGAGGCAGCAGUGGGGAAUUUUUGGACAAUGGGCGCAAGCCUGAUCCAGCAAUGCCGUGUGCAGGAUGAAGGCCUCGGUUG